rnacentral:rRNA from 1 species
CAGCCGCCACGGGAAUACGUAGGUGGCGAGCGUUGUCCGGAAUUAUUGGGCGUUAAGGGAGCGCAGGCGGACAUAUAAGUCCAUCUUAAGAGUGCGGGGCUCAACCCCGUGAGGGGAUGGAAACUGUAUGCCUUGAGUGCAGGAGAGGAAAGCGGAAUUCCCAGUGUAGCGGUGAAAUGCGUAGAUAUUGGGAGGAACACCAGUGGCGAAGGCGGCUUUCUGGACUGUAACUGACGCUGAGGCUCGAAAGCCAGGGGAGCGAACGGGAUUAGAUACCCGUGUAGUCCCUGUCUCUUAUACA